UCAACAUGGUAUCAGAGCUGGAAG
rnacentral:miRNA from 3 species